rnacentral:rRNA from 1 species
AGAGCGAACGCUGGCGGCAGGCUUAACACAUGCAAGUCGAGCGGGCGUAGCAAUACGUCAGCGGCAGACGGGUGAGUAACGCGUGGGAACAUACCUUUUGGUUCGGAACAACACAGGGAAACUUGUGCUAAUACCGGAUAAGCCCUUACGGGGAAAGAUUUAUCGCCGAAAGAUUGGCCCGCGUCUGAUUAGCUAGUUGGUGAGGUAACGGCUCACCAAGGCGACGAUCAGUAGCUGGUCUGAGAGGAUGAUCAGCCACAUUGGGACUGAGACACGGCCCAAACUCCUACGGGAGGCAGCAGUGGGAAUAUUGGACAAUGGGCGCAAGCCUGAUCCAGCCAUGCCGCGUGAGUGAUGAAGGCCCUAGGGUUGUAAAGCUCUUUUGUGCGGGAAGAUAAUGACGGUACCGCAAGAAUAAGCCCGGCUAACUUCGUGCUAGCAGCCGC